rnacentral:sRNA from 1 species
AUUUAAAAGAGAUUUUUAAAGGGUUUAAAAGGGUUUUAAAAGAUGUACAAGGGUUUUUAAAAGAUUUUUAAAGAAUUUACAAGAAGACCUUAUAAAAACUCUUGUAAAUGU